AUGAAGCUACUUGCCAAGGUCACGCAGCACAGUCACAUCCUACUGAACAUCAUCCUGUUCUCUGGGUGGAAUGUCACCAUCGCCCAGGUGGGGAUUUUUGUGUGUUUUGUUCACUGCUGUACACCCAGCCCCCAGCACAGCGCCUGUCCAGGACAAGUGCCCAGUAAACACUUGGGAAGCAAUGCAAGCGUCCUCCCAGCAGCUCCUGCAAACAGACCCCCGACCCAAGCCCUUCCUUCUGCCUCCACUGCCACCACUGCUGCUCAUCUCUGCUGGCACAGAAGUCUCUUCCCUGGUCUUCCAGAAAUCCCCUCUCCACACUCAGCCAGAGGGAGCUAUUAAAACUGUGGGCCAGCCCACAUCAGUCCACAGCAAAGUCCUCUCUAAGGGAUCUCUGUUGCUUGGAGAAUAAACCCUCGGAUUCCUUCCUUGGCUCUCGGGGCCUCCUCUCUGACCUCCCUCUGUCUCCUCUCCCAGCCUUCCUCCUCACUCACCCUCCAGCCAUGCUGGCUUCCUCCUUGCUCCUGAAACAGCCUGAGGCCCACACUGCCCCGGGCCCUUUGCACUGGCUGUUUCCUCUGCCUGGAACACUUCUCCUAGGCAUCCACAGGGCUCCCUCCCACAACUCCUUCGGGUGCCCACAUGGGAAGCCAUCCCUGACCACCCCCCCGACUUCCUUCUGAGCAAGGUAGGGUCUUUCUACCUAGUCAUGAGGGCAGGGAUUUUUGUCUGUUGUGUUCUCUGUGUGCCCCCAGUGCCAUCCCAGUGCCUGGCAGAUGGUAAGUGCUCGACACACAUUGGCUGACUGCCUGAAUGAACAACUCUAUGAGCCGAUGGCAGAUAAGGACACUGAGGUCCUCUGGGGUAGGUGACCAGCCCAAGGCCACACAGCUGGUCUGAGAUUAGGCCAGGAGAGGAGCCCGGGUUGGUCACAUCCUGGAGUUGGCGUCUUGGAAACUGCAUCAGGAGAAUAACAAAGAUGAGACGCAGGCUCUAACAAGUGGAUACCAGUGACUCUCGCCCCGCCAGCCCCAGCCCUGCAGCCUUGGGCCCUUCCAGGAGUCAUGGUCUGCCUGCCUGGGGCAUUCCAGGCUUCGACCCAGGUCCUGCACUUUCUAUUUUGAGCCUCUUAGUCCUGAGGACUGUGUGUUCCCAGCAGGCGGCGCGGGCCAGAGGCUGAGCCUGGGUGUGGCUGUCACCCUAUCUGGGGCCAGAGACCCAGAUUCCCGGGCCCUUAACCUGUUGGCUGCUGAGGGCUCUGGCAUAAGCCCUGUUCCCUGCUUGAUUGUCUCCCCUUCAAGCCCCUGCCCUGGUAUCGUAUCGGCCCAUCUCACCUUGGAUUAUAUCCCUGUUUGGCCCCAUUUGAAUCCUGGCUCUGCCCCUUUCCAGCAAUGUGACCUUGGGCAAGUCACUUCAUCUCUCUGGGUCUCAGUUUCUUCAUCUGGGAAAUGGGGACAAUAAGAGUACCUGUCUCUGGCCAUGUGUGGUGACUCAUGCCUGUAACCCCAGCGCUUUGGGAAGCCGAGGCGAGAGAAUUGCUUGAGACCAGGAGUUUGAGAUCAGCCCUGGGCAACAUAGUGAGACCCCUGUCUCUACAAAAUUCUAAAAAAAUUAGCCGGGUGUGGUGGUGUGUGCCUGUAGUCCCAGCUAUUCUAGAGGCUGAGGCGGGAGGAUUGCUUGAGCCCAGGAGUUUGAGGCUGCAGUGAGCUAUGAUUAUGCCCCUGCACAUCAGCCUGGGUGAUAGAUUGAGGCCCCAUCUCUAAAAAUAACAAUACUAAUAAUAAAUAAAAAUGAAAAUGAGUACCUGU
rnacentral:lncRNA from 10 species